rnacentral:rRNA from 1 species
AGUGAACGCUGGCGGUAGGCCUAACACAUGCAAGUCGAACGGCAGCACAGUAAGAGCUUGCUCUUACGGGUGGCGAGUGGCGGACGGGUGAGGAAUACAUCGGAAUCUACUUUUUCGUGGGGGAUAACGUAGGGAAACUUACGCUAAUACCGCAUACGACCUACGGGUGAAAGCAUGGGAUCUUCGGACCUUGCGCGAUUGAAUGAGCCGAUGUCGGAUUAGCUAGUUGGCGGGGUAAAGGCCCACCAAGGCGACGAUCCGUAGCUGGUCUGAGAGGAUGAUCAGCCACACUGGAACUGAGACACGGUCCAGACUACUACGAGAGGCAGCAGUGGGGAAUAUUGGACAAUGGGCGCAAGCCUGAUCCAGCCAUACCGCGUGGGUGAAGAAGGCCUUCGGGUUUUAAAGCCCGUUUGUUGGGAAAGAAAAGCAGCAGGUUAAUACCCCGCUGUUCUGACGGUACCCAAAGAAUAAGCACCGGCUAACUUCGUG